rnacentral:rRNA from 1 species
GACGAACGCUGGCGGCGUGCUUAACACAUGCAAGUCGAACGGAAAGGCCCUGCUUUUGUGGGGUGCUCGAGUGGCGAACGGGUGAGUAACACGUGAGUAACCUGCCCUUGACUUUGGGAUAACUUCAGGAAACUGGGGCUAAUACCGGAUAGGAGCUCCUGCUGCAUGGUGGGGGUUGGAAAGUUUCGGCGGUUGGGGAUGGACGCGCGGCUUAUCAGCUUGUUGGUGGGGUAGUGGCUUACCAAGGCUUUGACGGGUAGCCGGCCUGGGAGGGUGACCGGCCACAAUGGGACUGAGAUACGGCCCAGACUCCUACGGGAGGCAGCAGUGGGGAAUAUUGCACAAUGGGCGGAAGCCUGAUGCAGCAACGCCGCGUGCGGGAUGACGGCCUUCGGGUUGUAAACCGCUUUCGCCUGUGACGAAGCGUUAGUGACGGUAAUGGGUAAAGAAGCACCGGCUAACUACGUG